rnacentral:pre_miRNA from 1 species
ACUGUGUGUGGAUGGUGUUCAGCAUUAAGGACAGGUGUGUUAAGCUGUGUGUGGAUGGCGUUCAGCAUUAAGGACGUAUGUGUUUCACU